UACGUAGGUGGCAAGCGUUGUCCGGAUUUACUGGGCGUAAAGAGCGCGCAGGCGGUCGGAUAAGUCGAAUGUGAAAGCCCCCGGCUCAACUGGGGAGGGUCAUUCGAUACUGUUCGACUCGAAGGCAGGAGAGGGAAGUGGAAUUCCCGGUGUAGUGGUGAAAUGCGUAGAUAUCAGGAGGAACACCGGUGGCGAAGGCGGAUCUCUGGGCCUUACCUGACGCUGAGGAGGCCGAAAGCGUGGGGAGCGAACAGG
rnacentral:rRNA from 1 species